AACGAACGCUGGCGGCAUGCCUAACACAUGCGAGUCGAACGAGACCUUCGGGUCUAGUGGCGCACGGGUGCGUAACGCGUGGGAACCUGCCCUUAGGUUCGGAAUAACUCCCCGAAAGGGGUGCUAAUACCGAAUAAUGUCUUCGGACCAAAGAUUUAUCGCCUUUGGAUGGGCCCGCGUUGGAUUAGCUAGUUGGUAGGGUAAAAGCCUACCAAGGCGACGAUCCAUAGCUGGUCUGAGAGGAUGAUCAGCCACACUGGGACUGAGACACGGCCCAGACUCCUACGGGAGGCAGCAGUGGGGAAUAUUGGACAAUGGGCGAAAGCCUGAUCCAGCAAUGCCGCGUGAGUGAUGAAGGCCUUAGGGUUGUAAAGCUCUUUUACCCGGGAUGAUAAUGACAGUACCGGGAGAAUAAGCUCCGGCUAACUCCGUG
rnacentral:rRNA from 1 species